ACACCUCAACUCUCAUGGUUUGCCAUGAUGAGCUUGGACUUUGGGGGUCUUGCUGGCCUAUGGUCAGCUCCCCUAAAAUGAAUCAGCUUGCCAGUGUUUGGUGGGAUCACAGGUGUGAUAACUAUCUAUGCUUGUGGCCUUCCACCAAUCAACUUCCAGCAAUGGAGGUUCGCUGGAGCUCAUAAACGUCUCUCCUCAGUGAGGACAGCUCUUUUGAAU
rnacentral:misc_RNA from 1 species